UACGAAGGGGGCUAGCGUUGUUCGGAAUCACUGGGCGUAAAGCGCACGUAGGCGGAUUGUUAAGUCGGGGGUGAAAUCCUGAGGCUCAACCUCAGAACUGCCUUCGAUACUGGCAAUCUCGAGUCCGGAAGAGGUUGGUGGAACAGCUAGUGUAGAGGUGAAAUUCGUAGAUAUUAGCUAGAACACCAGUGGCGAAGGCGGCCAACUGGUCCGAUACUGACGCUGAGGUGCGAAAGCGUGGGGAGCAAACAGG
rnacentral:rRNA from 1 species